rnacentral:rRNA from 1 species
CUCAGGACGAACGCUGGCGGCGUGCUUAACACAUGCAAGUCGACGAUGAUGCCCAGCUUGCUGGGUGGAUUAGUGGCGAACGGGUGAGUAACACGUGAGUAACCUGCCCCUGACUCUGGGAUAAGCGUUGGAAACGACGUCUAAUACUGGAUAUGACGGCCGAUCGCAUGGUCUGGUCGUGGAAAGAUUUUUUGGUUGGGGAUGGACUCGCGGCCUAUCAGCUUGUUGGUGAGGUAAUGGCUCACCAAGGCGNNNNNGGGUAGCCGGCCUGAGAGGGUGACCGGCCACACUGGGACUGAGACACGGCCCNNNCUCCUACGGGAGGCAGCAGUGGGGAAUAUUGCACAAUGGGCGAAAGCCUGAUGCNNNAACGCCGCGUGAGGGACGACGGCCUUCGGGUUGUAAACCUCUUUUNNNAGGGAAGAAGGGGACGCAAGUUCUUGACGGUACCUGCAGAAAAAGCACCGGCUAACUA